ACUAAAUAAAAUAUAUAUUUUUUAUUUUCCUGUCGCUUGUCAUAACGAACCUUGAAAGACUCCGCCAUUGUUGUGACAACAUCGAGUUUAAAGUGCAGCUCCACGAAGCUCCCGAGACCAACACGAAGAUGUGGAGACUGGACCAAGGCGCCACGUAACAAGAACUCUAAAUGGUAUAAGAUCCUUUGGCACUGCCCAGUAAUUGCUAACAGUGCAUGACAAACGUGACCGAUCUAACCUAUGGUGAAGAUUAAGUGAGACGUGAGUGCCGGUAUUUAAAUAAUGGCGGCGUGACAAAGAUGUCCUCUAAAAGGUUUUUUUUUAAUUAUAAUUUGAAAAAGUUAUAACAGAAGUGGACGAAUAUCGGUGAAUGAGAAGUUAUAAUAAGGGGGAGAAUCGGUGAAUGAGAUGAAGAGAAUUUUGAAAGUAGAGAAUAUAAGGCUGGGAGUGAUCAUUCCAGUGGAUAAGUGACGACAGCGAAUUGGAUGGUUAAGUCGUCACUUCAGCUAAAGCAAGAGGAGAGGCAGGUGUCAGAGCAGCGAUGGAAAUAAGAAGAUUACGUAGGGAGGCUCUCCACAAGGCUACUGCUGUCCAGAAAUUUUAAACCAUGGUUUAUUGAACAUGGACAGCAUCCAAUUACUGUCCCCAAAUCUCCUCCUGCAACACAGUCACAGCUGGGAUCACAACCAAGCUGAAAGAUGGCAUGUGAUUGGUUGAUUCAACACCGAUCAUCAUCCUGCAGCACCAUACUUCAGAACCACCUCAUUCAGCACAACACAUCGUGGCCCACCUCCUUCAGCAACACAAGUCCUCCUAUCCCACCAUAAGUGUCAACUGAUACUUCACAGCCUAUAACACCAAGUAUGAUAUUCUACAUACAGUAUAUGUGUUUGGUCAUGAACCUUUAACACUGCUGAAGUUGUGUCUGACUCCCCUUAGUUGUGUAUAGUGGACAUCCCUUAGUUGUGUCUUACUCCCCUUAGUUGUGUAUGACUCCCUAUAGUUGUGUAUA